GACCCCAGGUCAGGCGGACUACCCGCUGAGUUUAAGC
rnacentral:rRNA from 1 species